AACUUAGCAGAGAUGCUUUGGUGGCCUUCGGGAACUCUGAGACAGGUGCUGCAUGGCUGUCGUCAGCUCGUGUUGUGAAAUGUUGGGUUAAGUCCCGCAACGAGCGCAACCCUUAUCCUUUGUUGCCAGCGGCUCGGCCGGGAACUCAAAGGAGACUGCCGGUGAUAAACCGGAGGAAGGUGGGGAUGACGUCAAGUCAUCAUGGCCCUUACGGCCAGGGCUACACACGUGCUACAAUGGCGCAUACAAAGAGAAGCGACCUCGCGAGAGCAAGCGGACCUCACAAAGUGCGUCGUAGUCCGGAUUGGAGUCUGCAACUCGACUCCAUGAAGUCGGAAUCGCUAGUAAUCGUAGAUCAGAAUGCUACGGUGAAUACGUUCCCGGGCCUUGUACACACCGCCCGUCACACCAUGGGAGUGGGUUGCAAAAGAAGUAGGUAGCUUAACCUUCGGGAGGGCGCUUACCACUUUGUGAUUCAUGACUGGGGUGAAGUCGUAACAAGGUAGGCGUAGCGAG
rnacentral:rRNA from 1 species